rnacentral:misc_RNA from 1 species
ACACCUCAACUCUCAUGGCUUGCCAUGAUGUGCUUGGACUUUGGGGGUCUUGUUGGCCUGUGAGCCAGCUCCUCUUAAAUGAAUCAGCUUGCCGGUGUUUGGUGGCGUCACAGGUGUGAUAACUAUCUACUCUUGUGGUUUCCCACCAGGGUAACCUUCAGCAAUGAAGGUUCACCGGAGCUUAUAAAUGUCUCUCCUCAGUGAGGACAGAUUUUGACC